GGCAGAGCCAAAACCGUAACAGCCAGAGCUAGAGACUCCGGCCUGGGGUUCUGGCUCUGUCCCGUAUCAGCUAGGAAACCCAGGGCAAGCUACUUAAACUCUCAGAGGCUCAGCUUUUUCAUGAGCAAACAGGAAAACAGGGCUAAUGAUUAGUCCUUGGCUUAAAAUACAUACCGCGUGUGAAAUUGCAGGUAUAUAAUAGAUUCACUAAAUGAGAGGGCGAGUUAUCAACACUUACUCUCCAAUGCGUCAUCACCCCCAACACUCCUGUGUAUUUCCUGCAAAUAAGGAUCUUCUCCUACAUGGUCAGUCCGAACAACCUUCAGUCACAACUGAGAAGGUCACAUGGUGCAUCACUGCCGCUCAGUCUCCCCAAGCCCAGUGAUUUCUUCACAGUUCUCCUGCCGCCAGCUGUCUCUCCUGAGUCCUGAGCACCACAUCUCUGGACCGUCUGGAGCCUCCCCUCCCUUGGCUUACUGCUCCCACCACCCUCUCUCUCCACCUUGCAAGAGACACUCUCCCUCAUCCUGGGUCAUCACCCUCUUUAGAGGCGCCGCCUGGCCACGAGGUUGGAUAUGGGGGGUGGGCAGGAUCUUGGCCUUACUUGAUGCAGUGCACACCUCCAACAGGCAUCAGAUGGAGUGCAGCCGGGAGCAAGAUUCUCAUAGCAAUUACAAAGAUUCACAAGAAAAUGUGCCCUCCACUACACAGCUGUAAUUUACAUGCUUUCAAACUUGAUAUGGAAUGACUGUGGUUUCCCCUGAAAGAAGCAUCACUGAUCUCUGCACAGGAGAAACAAGGAUCUUGCUCUGUCACCUAGGCUGGAGUGCAAUGGCACACUCACGGCUCACUGCAGCGUCAAACUCCCAGGCUCAAGUGUUCCUCCUACCUCAGCCUCCUGAGUAGCUAGGACCACAGCACAGGCCCAGACACAAAGCAGAUGUGCAGUGGAGUGUGAAAGAGGCAGCCAACUCACUGGGGAGCUUCAGAGGGAGAUGGCCCAAAUUGCUGGGGCCUAAGAAUCUCCCGGAAUGAAGGAACAGUAGAAAGAACUGGAAGCCAAAUAUGGUGAUAGAGACUCUCAUCAAGGACACUGAGUAAACCAGAAACCUGCUUGGGCUCACGUUCCUUGUCUCUUCUUCUCAGAUCCAGGAAAGGAGCUGUCCAGGACAAUGAGGAUAGGCUGAGGAAAGACAGGCCACGGCCUUGCCUCUGUGCCAGCUCUCAUGGGCCAGGCAGAGUAUCCCAGGACAACUGCCUCCACAACCAGCUCCAUCCUUCAUCAGCAAUUCAGUACCUGAUUAACAAAUCUGUACCCCAGGAGGUUAUGCCAAGUCCAACUUCUUCCAGAGACCACAACAAUAAAUCCAAGCCACUGCUAAUGUCAUUUAUAAGCUGUGGGAUUAAAACAGAGAAGCAAUCAAUUAAUUAAAAUUAGCUCUUUAUUGAAACUAUAAGCAUCUUGCUUCCUAAGAUUCUAGACCAAAUAAGUGACCGCCAAUUCUACUCUUAUAGAAUGAAAGAGUUUGCCAUUUUUAAUGUAAUGAAAUUUUUUCACUCUGAAAUAAGAUUAAUUCAAAA
rnacentral:lncRNA from 1 species